UAAACUGAGAGUUUGAUCCUGGCUCAGAGCGAACGCUGGCGGCGUGCCUAACACAUGCAAGUCGAACGGUGUAUGUGUAGCAAUACGCAUACAUAGUGGCGCACGGGUGAGUAACGCGUAGGUGAUCUGCCCUUCGGUUUGGGACAACCGCUGGAAACGGCGGCUAAUACUGGAUAAGACCACGAGCAGGUAAUGCUUGCGGUAAAAGGAGUAAUUCGCCGAAGGAUGAGCCUGCGUCCUAUCAGGUUGUUGGUGGGGUAACGGCCUACCAAGCCUAAGACGGGUAGCCGGUCUGAGAGGAUGAACGGCCACACUGGGACUGAGACACGGCCCAGACUCCUACGGGAGGCAGCAGUGAGGAAUUUUGCGCAAUGGGGGAAACCCUGACGCAGCGACGCCGCGUGCGGGAAGAAGGCCCUCGGGUCGUAAACCGCUUUUGUGGGGGAAGAUGAUG
rnacentral:rRNA from 1 species